CGGGCGUGCCGCGGAGCGUGCCACCAAAGGGGAUGAGAAUUUUCCAACCGCGGUGAAAGUACUGUCCGCGUGGCGCCCGCGCAAAAAAUUCCUAGAAAAUCACCGGCGGAACGCAGACGCGUUUGAAUUUAACGGCGCGAUUCCCGAUGAUCGGCGCCGUCUUAUCAGAGAAACGGAUUUUUUUACGGUAGCGUACGUCACCCCGCGAGAUCGGAUCUAGAGGCGAUAGAGCGGACAAUUGCAUGUCGGCGGUGUAUAGGGACAUGCCCUGCGGGACACGGCGGUGGAACGGGGUGGUUGGAACGGGCCGCGGAAACACGGAGAGGGCGGGAACACGCCGGCCGAGCGAGGAUCGGCGAGACGGGGUGGUGGGACGGCUAUCUCCGUUGCCACCUUUGUUUUCGCGUGAAACGCGUCGGGGAUUUUUGACGGAAGCCACGAGGAAGAGGAAUGAUCGCGCGAGGCUCGAAAGAUGCUUUCAAGUUUAUGCGACUCGGUCGCGGCGAUGAAAGGAAGCUUUGUUACGUCUGCUAAUAGAAGAGCAACGUUCUCUUGAAUGAACGCGGGUUGUCAAUGACGAAGACCUUAUCUGUGCCUCGCACCGCCAGCGGGGCUUUUUACGAUUGGCUCGAUCGUUAAGCGUGACCGUAGCCGCCGCCAUAAAGCUGCUGUCAAUCGUCGUGAAGCCAAGCGAAGGAGAGUAUCGUGCGAAUCGACUCGGCAAAAUAUAAAAGUGUCCCCUGCAUCGCACUUAAAAAGCUUGCCUUCGAACGUUUUUCAAACAAAAAUUUAUUUAGAUUAUAAG